CUCAUUCUAGAAAUCCUAUCAAAUCGACGACGAUUUCUCUCCAGGCACGAACAAACCUCAAACCAAAAACCUUACUUCUUGAUAGAUCGGCGACGAUUUCUCUCUGGGAACGAACACACCUCAAACCAGAAAUCCUACUUCUUGAUAGAUCGGCGAUGAUUCUUCUCCAGUACGCAACAUUGUUCUUAUCCGAUGAAGGUCUCGGCCAGCUUGCUGCUUGAAUAUUUGAAGGGUGAAGCUAGAGGCAUGGCUGUGAGGCGAGGAUCGUGGUCUACAAAAUAUGUUUAUCUUUUGGAUGUUACAAUUCAGAUAUUUUAGUUUUUGUUUGAUUUUAUGUUAAUUGAAUUGUUAUAUUCAUGAGUAAUAUUACAUUAUUCGAUAUAAUAUUUUUCUUAUUCACAAUUUAA